UUACGGCAAUUUCAGGUCGAAACAACGGUUCUCGUACGAUCACCGAAGUUAAGCAACGUCGAACUUGAUCAGUACUUAAAUAGGUGAUCGCUUGGGAAUACUAGGCGCUGUAAG